rnacentral:lncRNA from 1 species
CUCGGUGGACUAGAGGGGUUCGACGCUACUCGGGACCGGUUCGACCGCGGAUUCAGGCCUCACCAGAUCGGCGGCCGAGGCUCGGGCGAGCUCCCGUCGUCAAGGCCCCUGUGCACGCCCUAAUCGACACCGAAGCCCACGGCCGAACCAAUCCAUCCCAAAGUCAUCGUUGCGGCGUGUGGAGUCAUUAGGAACUGCCGGAAGCGCUAGCGGAAAAGCAUACGAGUGCGCGAGACGCAUCGUCCAGCAGUGGAGCGUGCGGAGGCGGGGACGAUCGAAGGAGAGGCACCGGAGACGGCCAAGGAAGGCGCGUACAUCGAGAAGGCACCGGUCGGAGGGGCUCGUACCCGUGCGGGGAAGGAUCGACCGUGCGUCAAGUUGUGCUGGGAGGCAUCAGCCGUGCGUGGAGGUGCGCGAGGAGCUUCGGCCGCACACAGGGCUCUGCCCGAGGCCGCUAAUGCCGGCCUUGGAGCGCGAGGGCAUCACCGAAUGUGAGGACGCGUGCUGGGGAAACUUCGGGCCACCUUCGGUGGCCUCGGGCCCAUUGAUGUCGGCUUUGGCCGCCGGGAAGAGUGGCUUUGGU